GCUCCUUGUAGAACUCCAGUAGUUGGAUCUUGCUUUUUGAAAUCCAAUCUGUCAAUCUCUUGCCUUUUAAUGUACAGAUUUAGACCAUGUACACUUAGUGCCAUUAUUAAUAUAGUUAGAUAUGAUACACCACCUUACUAGUUGGAAGCUAUUUUUGAUGCUCUUUCUUUCAGUUAUACCCAAAUCUUCUGCAGAUUUUCCUUAUGGUCUCUGUGCAAACAGGAGGAAAGAAUCUAUUCCACUCCUUAGAGUGAUAGUGGUAGUGAAGUCUCCCCAGAGGUGAACAGUGCCCAGCUGAUCAACCUCUUACUUAGGUCUCACACAGCACAGAAGCAGUGAUUUGGGAGACGGACAAGGUCACCAGUCAUUCAACCAACUCUUCACAAGCGUCAUCUCAUUACUGUGGUAGAUGUAACCACUACACCUCCAGGACAGAGGUGAGGAAGCCAAGGCUCGAAGAACCUAAGAGAUGGAAGCGAGUCAUGUGCUGGCGGGGCCAAGAUGUUAGCCCAGAGGACCAGGCCACAGAUGAAUGCUUCUGUGGAAAAAAGAGCUUUCUAAAUGAAGAUAGCAAGCUCGAAGCAGAGUGAUUUUGACAUCUGCUAACUGACUAAGUACACUGAUUCCACCAUCUCAUUCUGUGCUCUGCUUCUACCCUGCAGAAUCUCUCUUUAACCAAUUCUUGAUCAAACAACGAACCCAUUGCAGAAAUAAAUUAUGGGGAAGCAUGUCCUUUGCCACUUCCCUAAUUCAGAAAAAUCAAGUUUUUUUCUCCUGUCCUAUGCUGUUUCCUGUCGUGCAUAAUAUAGCAAAUUAAUUAGUGGAUCUGGAGGCACUUUGCUAAUAUAAUUUCUCUCUCUUGCUUGAGGUGAAUUAUGUUCAUGCUUCAGUCACUUGAAUAUUACUCUUCCAUGUUUGAGGGAAUUAUGUUAUCAGGCAAUGAUUAUAUUGCACACUAUCUGAUUCUAAUUAAACCAGAAAAUAGUGAUGUAACAGAGGAGAAUGUUUCAUGAUUUACAUUCCCCACACUUCACUGCUGCAUCCCAUUUUUAAAGCUUUCUGAGCUGUGCUUGGGCUCUUUUCUGAUGCUUACAUCACUUGCACUAUCUUACUUUUCUCCCUGGACCUGCUUCAUCUAAGAUGUGAUUUGUGUAAAUUAAAUCUUAGAAAAACAUAAUGUUUACAUUUGCCUUUUUUUUUUUGUUAUCAGAAGUAUCAUGCCCAGUAGUGACUAUGAUUAUUUUAGAUAAUAUCAAAGGAGAAAACGUGUUGUUUUUGUAUAACUGAAAAAAAAAGUUUCCCUGUAUGAGAGAGGAGAAACAAAUUUUACAGGGGGAAGAGAGAGAAAGAGAAUACAGAGACAAAUGUGGAAG
rnacentral:lncRNA from 1 species